ensembl:lncRNA
AUUACAGAGUUGUUUAAGUAAGAUGGAUAGAAAUUGGAGAGGUCAGCUUUUAAUGUUAUAAGCAUAGACAAGUUUAGGUGUGUUCGAGUGUGAAUAUAAUAAAGUAAAUUAAAAUACUGUUUAAGAGUAUAACAAUCUAAUACGAAAGUGUGUUUAUCUUACCAUUCUCACCUUCGUGCAGGAGGGUACAUAGAUGGGGCAGAUGCUUGCUGACUGGCAACAAUGGCUGAGGAGGAGAGGCCUGAAAGUAGAGGGACAGCUGUCAGAAAAAUUCAACAUGCUUCAACCUAACAGGCCUAACAAGAGUUUCUGACUGCAAAUGCAUACCCAGACUCAACCAGUAAAACUUCGACAGCUGUAAAUGAACAGCAAGUCUCCUAGUCCCCACCACCAGCACGAGUUGGACCGUGUGCACCAUGAGCCAGAACAUGGAGGAGAGAACAGGACGACCAUCGGGGUGGAGCCAGACUCCUGCUGAUAUCAACGUUUCCUAACCCAAAAAAUUCUCCUCACUGUCAGCACAGCUUUCUAACACUGCAACAUCAUCAAGGAGUGUCUAACUCUCUA